GCUUUCUUCGGGCAUAUCUAGAUUACUCCCAAUGUACACUCCGUCGGGAUUCAAGAUCAAAGACGACAAGAUCCCCGGUUGGGAGUUAAGCCUGUGAGCAAAAUAUACAAGGACACGGAAUUGACGAGCGUGGGCAUCGGCGAUCUUAAGUACUAGCAAUGAAGGACGCCUUCAUUUGUUUACUUGCUUCCUCUAAGGUCAAGGGAAUGGGCGCGAUCUUAUAUGUUCCCCCUUGGGCAUGGAAAGCCAAAGCGAAAGGCAGAAGAAUUUCAGGGUUUGAAACGCGCAUCGCAAACCCUGGUGCCUGGCUGCGAUCAAAAUAAAGGACGUGGCAGGGCAGAGCAGUGCGCAGACAGAAA
rnacentral:sRNA from 2 species